rnacentral:rRNA from 1 species
GAUGAACGCUGGCGGCGUGCCUAAUACAUGCAAGUCGAGCGAACAGACGAGGAGCUUUCUCCUCUGACGUUAGCGGCGGACGGGUGAGUAACACGUGGAUAACCUACCUAUAAGACUGGGAUAACUUCGGGAAACCGGAGCUAAUACCGGAUAAUAUAUUGAACCGCAUGGUUCACUAGUGAAAGACGGUUUUGCUGUCACUUAUAGAUGGAUCCGCGCAGCAUUAGCUAGUUGGUAAGGUAACGGCUUACCACGGCUACGAUGCGUAGCCGACCUGAGAGCGUGAUCGGCCACACUGGAACUGAGACACGGUCCAGACUCCUACGGGAGGCAGCAGUAGGGAAUCUUCCGCAAUGGGCGAAAGCCUGACGGAGCAACGCCGCGUGAGUGAUGAAGGUCUUCGGAUCGUAAAACUCUGUUAUUAGGGAAGAACAAAUGUGUAAGUAACUAUGCACGUCUUGACGGUACCUAAUCAGAAAGCCACGGCUAACUACGUG